GACGAACGCUGGCGGCGUGCUUAACACAUGCAAGUCGAACGGAAAGGCCCUGCUUUUGUGGGGUGCUCGAGUGGCGAACGGGUGAGUAACACGUGAGUAACCUGCCCUUUACUUUGGGAUAACUUCAGGAAACUGGGGCUAAUACCGGAUAGGAGCUCCUGCUGCAUGGUGGGGGUUGGAAAGUUUCGGCGGUUGGGGAUGGACUCGCGGCUUAUCAGCUUGUUGGUGGGGUAGUGGCUUACCAAGGCUUUGACGGGUAGCCGGCCUGAGAGGGUGACCGGCCACAUUGGGACUGAGAUACGGCCCAGACUCCUACGGGAGGCAGCAGGGGGGAAUAUUGCACAAUGGGCGGAAGCCUGAUGCAGCAACGCCGCGUGCGGGAUGAAGGCCUUCGGGUUGUAAACCGCUUUCGCCUGUGACGAAGCGUGAGUGACGGUAAUGGGUAAAGAAGCACCGGCUAACUACGUG
rnacentral:rRNA from 1 species